GAUGAACGCUGGCGGCGUGCCUAAUACAUGCAAGUCGAGCGAACGGACGAGAAGCUUGCUUUUCUGAUGUUAGCGGCGGACGGGUGAGUAACACGUGGAUAACCUACCUAUAAGACUGGGAUAACUUCGGGAAACCGGAGCUAAUACCGGAUAAUAUUUUGAACCGCAUGGUUCAAAAGUGAAAGACGGUCUUGCUGUCACUUAUAGAUGGAUCCGCGCUGCAUUAGCUAGUUGGUAAGGUAACGGCUUACCAAGGCAACGAUGCAUAGCCGACCUGAGAGGGUGAUCGGCCACACUGGAACUGAGACACGGUCCAGACUCCUACGGGAGGCAGCAGUAGGGAAUCUUCCGCAAUGGGCGAAAGCCUGACGGAGCAACGCCGCGUGAGUGAUGAAGGUCUUCGGAUCGUAAAACUCUGUUAUUAGGGAAGAACAUAUGUGUAAGUAACUGUGCACAUCGUGACGGUACCUAAUCAGAAAGCAACGGCUAACUACGUG
rnacentral:rRNA from 1 species